rnacentral:rRNA from 1 species
UACAGAGGUCUCAAGCGUUGUUCGGAUUCAUUGGGCGUAAAGGGUGUGUAGGUGGCGCCGUAAGUCGGGUGUGAAAUUUCGGAGCUUAACUCCGAAACUGCAUUCGAUACUGCGGUGCUUGAGGACUGGAGAGGAGACUGGAAUUCAUGGUGUAGCAGUGAAAUGCGUAGAUAUGCGGAGGAACACCGAUGGCGAAGGCAAUCCCCUGGGCCUGCACUGGACGCUCCAUGCACGAAAGCGUGGGGAGCAAACAG